CUCGUCGGGGAGGCUCAGGCUGCGCAGGCGCCCACCGCGGGGAGGCGGGGCGGGGAGACUGAGGCAUGGCGGGAUGCAGGUCCCAAGCCCUUCCCCGCGGGGAGGCAGCUAAGGCCCGGCAAGAAAUCGAGCACAGCAGCUGCUAGCGCAGGUGCUAAGCCCCUCACUGCCCGGGGCUUGCGGGCCGGCCUGCUGCUCCGAGUGCUGGGCCAGCCGAGCCCACGCCCCCCCGGAACUGGCGCUGGCCCGCAAGCGCCGCGCGCAGCCCCAGUUUCCGCCCGCGCCUCUCCCUCCACGCCUCCUCGCAAGCUGAGGGAGUCGGCUCCGGCCUUGGCCAGCCCAGAAAGGGGCUCCCACAGUGCAACGGUGGGCUGAAGGGCCAGAGUGGGCGCCAAGGGCGAGGAGGCGCCGAGAGCGAGUGGGGGCUGCCAGCACGGUGUCACCUCUCACCAGUAGUUGUGAUUUUUGCUGUCACCCCCAUGGAUUAUGAAUUCACUUUGUCUGGGUAACAGUGGAAACCCUCGGAAGUUGUUUCCACUGUUUCAUCUAAAAGAAGUCGCCAAAACGAAGUUUUCUCAGUGCCAAAGCAUGGACUCAGUGACUGGCAAUGUUUGGGAUUGCAGAGGCUCCAGUAGCCUGGGAAGGAAACUGGCGUUCAAGGAGGUGACUAAUCUAAGGUCAUCUAGCUAAGUGACAGAGACAGUAUUCAAACUAAGGUGCCUCUGACUCCAAAGACUAUUCAAACUUCCAGACUUUGCUAAGGACUUCCAACAACUGCAUUAUACUGAUAAAAGUUGCCUGUCAGAACCUGCACGUUGUGCACAUGUACCCUAAAACUUAAAGUAUAAUAUUAGUAAAAUAAAAAAAAAGAAUAAAGAGGAUGUUCCAUAACUCAGUCUGUGAGUCAGACAACUGAAGAAGCCUACCUUCUGCCACAUAGAGAGCAGUUUAAGAAUUUUACCUAAAGUCACCGUGCAAGGGGGAUGAGCUCCAGGGACUGUCAUUUUUCACAGGUCACCCUAAAGAAAUAGAACCAGAAGAUUGCAGAAUUGCGGCCUUCGAUUCUCCUCUCUAAGUAGACUGAGUACACUUGAAGACAACAAUAUGGGCAUUCAUUAGAUGGAAUUUGGAAGACAAAGCUGAGGUUAAAAAUUACAUUUCUUUUGACUAAACUUAGGCAGGACAUUUAGUCUAGCGUUCACCACAGGUCUCAUUGGUCCCUACUACCUGUACCAGACUUUCCACAGGCACACUAUAUGCGUGGCCAUUAAGGUUUUUAGUUUGCAUUCCCAGGAAUAAAUUGAUUUCUCACUUUGAUAACAUGCUGUGCUACUUCUGGCUUUUACAUUAAAACCCUUAGAGGAUGAUAAGUAUGGUUACAGAACACAUUGUCUGAGUUUCAGAUCUGGCUUAUUCACUUAAUAAAUGCUAUAGUUUGGAUAUUCAUCCACCCCCCGAUAUCUCGCAUUGAAAUUUAAUCCUCAUUGAUGGAAAUGAGGCCUAAUUGGAGCUGUUUGGGUCAUGUGGGUGGAUUCCUCAUGAAUGGCUUGACAUCGUCCUCAAAGUAAUGAGCGAGUUCUUGCUCUGUUAGUUCCCAUGAGAGCUGGUUGUUAAGAAGAGCCUGGCACCUCCACUCUCUUUCUCUUGCUUCCUAUCUCACCGUGUGAUCUCUGCACAGUUGACCCCACUUUGUCUUCUGCCAUGAGUAGAAGCAGCCUGAGUCCCUCAACAGAAGCCAAGCAGAUGCUGGCACCAUGCUUCUUGUACAGCCUACACAACAUGAGCCAAAUAAAGCUAUUUUCUUUAUAAAUUACCCAGCCUCAGGUAAUCCUUGAAAGCAAUACUAAAUGGACUAAAACAGUAACUAUGUGACUACUUUAUACCAG
rnacentral:lncRNA from 10 species